rnacentral:lncRNA from 10 species
GUCCCAGCUCCUUGGGAGGCUGAGGCAUGAGAAUCGCUUGAACCCAGGAGGUGGAAGUUGCAGUGAGAUAAAAUCAUGCCACUCCACUCCACUCUGGGUGACAGAGUGAGACUCCAUCUCAAAAAAUAAAUAAAUAAAAGAGAAAAAUUAGGGCCAGGUGAGUUGGCUCAUAUCUGUAAUCCCAGGAGUUUGUGAGGCUAAGGCAGGAGGAGUGCUUGAGCCCAGGAGUUCAAGACUGGCGAUGUAGCCUGGGCAAUAUAGGAAGACCCUGGCUCUACAAAAAUAAAUCAUUAGCUGGGCACGGUAGCUCAUGCCUGUAGUCCCAGAUGUUUGGAAUGCUGAGGCGGGAGGAUCGCUUCAACUCAGGAAGUAGAGGCUAUGGUUAGCCCUGAUCGUGCUCCACUGUGCCCGGCCAGUUGCUUUAUUUUUAAAGCUAUUAAAAUUUUAAUCUUCUUAAACACUCUGGAAAUCUUUUUUUUUUCUUUCGAGACAGGUUAAAAGAAAAGCUCACUGCAGCCUUGACCUCCUUGUCUCAAACCAUUCUCCUGCCUCAGCCUCCCAAGUAGCUAGGACCAUAGGCAAGUGCCACCAUGCCCAGCUAAUUUUUUAAAAAUUUUUUUGUAGAGAUGAGGUCUCCCUAUGUUGCCCAGGCUGGUCUCACACUCUUGGGCUCAAGCAGUCCUCCCGCCUCAGCCUCCCAAAGUGCUGGGAUUAUAGGAAUGAGCUACUGCACCCAGCCUGGAAGUCUUAUUAUAGUUAAGUGUAUGACCCAAAUGAAAGAUCUUGAUUCUUAUUUAGCUUUUAAGAAAAUUCAUAUUAACUUUUAUUGCAGAAUAAUUGUGCCACAGAAAGUAUUUUAGAGAAUAACGUUGUGAUUAACGUUAUAAUUUGCAAUAUCAUUUAUAGACUAAAAUCUCCAGUUAGCAACC